rnacentral:rRNA from 1 species
CAGCCGUAAACUAUGCGCGUUAGGUGUAUCGGUGACCACGAGUUACCGAGGUGCCGAAGGGAAACCGUGAAACGUGCCGCCUGGGAAGUACGGUCGCAAGGCUGAAACCUAAAGGAAUUGGCGGGGGAGCACCACAACAGGUGGAGCCUGCGGUUUAAUUUGGACUCAACGCCGGGAAGCUCACCGGAUAGGACAGCAGAAUGAUUGCCGGGCUGAAGACCCUGCAUGACUAGCUGAGAGGAGGUGCAUGGCGUAGACGUCU